rnacentral:rRNA from 1 species
CGUGCUUAACACAUGCAAGUCGAACGGAAAGGCCCUGCUUUUGUGGGGUGCUCGAGUGGCGAACGGGUGAGUAACACGUGAGUAACCUGCCCUUGACUUUGGGAUAACUUCAGGAAACUGGGGCUAAUACCGGAUAGGAGCUCCUGCUGCAUGGUGGGGGUUGGAAAGUUUCGGCGGUUGGGGAUGGACUCGCGGCUUAUCAGCUUGUUGGUGGGGUAGUGGCUUACCAAGGCUUUGACGGGUAGCCGGCCUGAGAGGGUGACCGGCCACAUUGGGACUGAGAUACGGCCCAGACUCCUACGGGAGGCAGCAGUGGGGAAUAUUGCACAAUGGGCGGAAGCCUGAUGCAGCAACGCCGCGUGCGGGAUGACGGCCUUCGGGUUGUAAACCGCUUUCGCCUGUGACGAAGCGUGAGUGACGGUAAUGGGUAAAGAAGCACCGGCUAACUACGUGCCAGCAGCCGCGGUGAUACGUAGGGUGCGAGCGUUGUCCGGAUUUAUUGGGCGUAAAGGGCUCGUAGGUGGUUGAUCGCGUCGGAAGUGUAAUCUUGGGGCUUAACCCUGAGCGUGCUUUCGAUACGGGUUGACUUGAGGAAGGUAGGGGAGAAUGGAAUUCCUGGUGGAGCGGUGGAAUGCGCAGAUAUCAGGAGGAACACCAGUGGCGAAGGCGGUUCUCUGGGCCUUUCCUGACGCUGAGGAGCGAAAGCGUGGGGAGCGAACAGGCUUAGAUACCCUGGUAGUCCACGCUGUAAACGGUGGGUACUAGGUGUGGGGUCCAUUCCACGGGUUCCGUGCCGUAGCUAACGCUUUAAGUACCCCGCCUGGGGAGUACGGCCGCAAGGCUAAAACUCAAAGGAAUUGACGGGGCCCCGCACAAGCGGCGGAGCAUGCGGAUUAAUUCGAUGCAACGCGUAGAACCUUACCUGGGUUUGACAUGGAUCGGGAGUGCUCAGAGAUGGGUGUGCCUCUUUUGGGGUCGGUUCACAGGUGGUGCAUGCCUGUCGUCAGCUCGUGUCGUGAGAUGUUGGGUUAAGUCCCGCAACGAGCGCAACCCUUGUUCACUGUUGCCAGCACGUUAUGGUGGGGACUCAGUGGAGACCGCCGGGGUCAACUCGGAGGAAGGUGGGGAUGACGUCAAGUCCUCAUGCCCCUUAUGUCCAGGGCUUCACGCAUGCUACAAUGGCUGGUACAGAGAGUGGCGAGCCUGUGAGGGUGAGCGAAUCUCGGAAAGCCGGUCUCAGUUCGGAUUGGGGUCUGCAACUCGACCUCAUGAAGUCGGAGUCGCUAGUAAUCGCAGAUCAGCAACGCUGCGGUGAAUACGUUCCCGGGGCUUGUACACACCGCCCGUCAAGUCAUGAAAGUUGGUAACACCCGAAGCCGGUGGCCUAACCGUUGUGGGGGAGCCGUCGAAGGUGGGACUGGUGAUUAGGACU